GAUCUGGCGUAAUGAGAAGAUCGCGUGCUAUAUCUGACGGUGCGGGGUGAGAAGGCAAUGCAGCUGCUGGAGAGUGGCCUGAAGGUGAAUGAGUACGAGCUGCUGAGGAGGAAUUUCAGUGAGACUGGCUGCUUUGGAUUUGGUAUCCAAGAGCACAUUGAUCUUGGCAUCAAUCUAGUGUGGUGUCUUGUUCCCAAUGUUCCUUGAGAAGCGUGAUGAUGGGCGACAGUGGCAAUGCAAAGCAGCAACAUCAGUGGGGAGGGCGCGGCACCACAAAGACUCGAGCGGGGUGAUUCGCGACGGCCAUGGAAGGGUAUGGAGGUGGUGUCGAGGCAACAGGGGCAGGGCGAGGAGAAAGGAGGGGUACACGGUUCGUGCAUCAUGAUUAUUGCAGCGAUUGUUCGUUGCAUGGUGAUUGUGUGUGCAACGGGGAGGAGGUUUACCUUCCGAAUCAGAGCUCCACGGGAUCUAGAAUGGGAGCAGUGAUACCUUGGGCCAUGGAGUAGGCCACCGGCGAGGUUGUCCACGUCGCGCGCACAUCCCUCCCAAAUCUCCCGAGUAGGAGAGCACUCAGCCGCCUAUAGAGAUAUCUCCACCAGACAAUUAGAAUAGCUACUCCAAAUCGUCAUCUUCUACAUAGAUUUAGACUAGAUAGAGGAAGAGUCAGAUGCUUGUGCUCGUAUUUCCAAAUCUCCGUCAUCAAAGAUUGGUAUUAUCUUGUAUCUUUCUUUUGACUUUAUUCUAAAUAUCAUUAUGCUUCUAUU